CCUACGGGAGGCAGCAGUGAGGAAUAUUGGUCAAUGGGCGGAAUCCUGAACCAGCCAUGUAGCGUGCGGGACGAAGGCCCUACGGGUCGUAAACUGCUUUUGCACGGGGAUAACACCCUCCACUUGUGGAGGUCUGCAGGUACGGUACGAAUAAGGGCCGGCUAAUUCCGUGCCAGCAGCCGCGGUAAUACGGAGGGCCCGAGCGUUAUCCGGAUUCAUUGGGCUUAAAGGGAGCGUAGGCGGUCGUUCAAGUCAGCGGUAAAAUCGCGAGGCUCAAACUCGGCCCGCAGUUGAGACUGUACGCCUUGAGAUCGCAUCAGGCAGGCGGAAUUUGUAGUGUAGCGGUGAAAUGCAUAGAUAUCACACGGAACACCGAUUGCGAAGGCAGCCUGCCGGGGCGCGACUGACGCUGAGGCACGAAGGCGUGGGGAUCGAACAGGAUUAGAUACCCGGGUAGUC
rnacentral:rRNA from 1 species